GGGCGAGUGGCGGAAUGGCAGACGCUACGGACUUAAAAUCCGUCGAGGACAAUACCUCAUGAGGGUUCGACUCCCUCCUCGCCCACCA
rnacentral:tRNA from 1 species